GAUGAAGAACGUAGCGAAAUGCGAUACUUGGUGUGAAUUGCAGAAUCCCGUGAACCAUCGAGUCUUUGAACGCAAGUUGCGCCCGAAGCCAUUAGGCCGAGGGCACGCCUGCCUGGGUGUCACACAUCGUUACCCUCGCGCCAACGUCCAUCGUUGGCCGCGGCGCGGGGCGUGCGCUGACCUCCCGCGAGCGGGGCCUCGUGGUUGGUUGAAAAUCGAGUUCGCGGUCGGGGGUGCCGUGGUAAAAUGGUGGAUGGGCGACGCCCGAGGCCAAUCACGCGCGACUCUGUCCGGCUUGGACUCCUGGACCCCUUCGGCGUCUCCGGACGCUCUUCGGCGAGACCUCAGGUCAGGCGGGGCUACCCGCUGAGUUUAAGCAUAUCAAUAAGCGGAGGGA
rnacentral:misc_RNA from 1 species